UUCCGUAGGUGAACCUGCGGAAGGAUCAUUAUUGAAAUUUAAUGAAGAGUUUGGUUGUAGCUGGCCCAUUAUUCAUAUUUUGGGCAUGUGCACACCUUCCUCUUUCAUCCCACACACACCUGUGAACCUGUGAGACAGAUGGGGAAUUUACUUGCUGCUUUUUGCAAUACAAAGGCAAUAGGUUAUUGGACCCUCUGUCUACUCAAUUAAUAUAAAAUCAAUUUAUUUUAAAACGAAUGUAAUGGAUGUAACACAUCUCAUACUAAGUUUCAACAACGGAUCUCUUGGCUCUCGCAUCGAUGAAGAACGCAGCGAAAUGCGAUAAGUAAUGUGAAUUGCAGAAUUCAGUGAAUCAUCGAAUCUUUGAACGCACCUUGCGCUCCUUGGUAUUCCUUGGAGCAUGCCUGUUUGAGUAUCAUGAAUUCUUCAAAGUAAAUCUUUUGUUAACUCAAUUGGUUUCACUUUGGUAUUGGAGGUCUUUUGCAGCUUCACACCUGCUCCUCUUUGUGCAUUAGCUGGAUCUCAGUGUUAUGCUUGGUUCCACUCGGCGUGAUAAAUUAUCUAUCGCUGAGGACACUGUAAAAGGUGGCCAAGGUAAAUGCAGAUGAACCGCUUCCAAUAGUCCAUUGACUUGGACAACACCUUUAUGAUCUGAUCUCAAAUCAGGUAGGACUACCCGCUGAACUUAAGCAUAUCAAUAAGCGGAGGAAAAGAAACUAACAAGGAUUCCCCUAGUAACGGCGAGUGAAGCGGGAAGAGCUCAAAUUUAAAAUCUGGCAGUGUAUU
rnacentral:rRNA from 1 species